UACGGAGGGUGCAAGCGUUAUCCGGAUUCACUGGGUUUAAAGGGUGCGUAGGCGGGCUGGUAAGUCAGUGGUGAAAUCUCCGGGCUUAACCCGGAAACUGCCGUUGAUACUAUCUGUCUUGAAUAUCGUGGAGGUAAGCGGAAUAUGUCAUGUAGCGGUGAAAUGCGUAGAUAUGACAUAGAACACCGAUUGCGAAGGCAGCUUACUACACGAUCAUUGACGCUGAGGCACGAAAGCGUGGGGAGCAAACAGG
rnacentral:rRNA from 1 species